AAGUCGUAACAAGGUUUCCGUAGGUGAACCUGCGGAAGGAUCAUUAACACGUAUCCAACGUUAAACCCCCCUGUGAACCUUCAUUGUGCUCCCACGCUUUGUUAGAAAGUGGCAAUCCCUGGUAAAUCAUCGCCGAACAGUUUUGAUUCAGGGACUUCUGCGAAGAGGGUGAAUGAGGCGAGGCAAUGGACCUGGCAUUCCUCUGCUUGUUGGUGUCUGAAAGUGUCACUAACUCUGUACGAAUGGCGCAGUCACGUUCGCUGGAGGCCGACACGGCCGGCGACCGGGUCCCUGAGCUCUGCUCCCGCUGUUACGUCAAACCCCAUGUUCCCCUCUAGUGAAAGCUAUUGGGUUAUAACUAAACGACUGUUAACAAUGGAUAUCUCGAUUCUC
rnacentral:misc_RNA from 1 species